rnacentral:rRNA from 1 species
UACGUAGGGGGCAAGCGUUGUCCGGAUUUAUUGGGCGUAAAGAGCGUGUAGGCGGCUUGGUAGGUCUCGCGUCAAAACCUGAGGCUCAACCUCAGUUCGCGUGGGAAACCACCUAGCUAGAGUCCGGAAGAGGAGAACGGAAUUCCCAGUGUAGCGGUGAAAUGCGUAGAUAUCAGGAGGAACACCUGCGGUGUAGACGGCUUACUGGACCAUAACUGACGCUGAGGCACGAAAGCGUGGGUAGCAAACAGG